UAACACUAACUGGAGGACCGAACCGACUAAUGUUGAAAAAUUAGCGGAUGACUUGUGGCUGGGGGUGAAAGGCCAAUCAAACCGGGAGAUAGCUGGUUCUCCCCGAAAGCUAUUUAGGUAGCGCCUCGUGAAUUCAUCUCCGGGGGUAGAGCACUGUUUCGGCAAGGGGGUCAUCCCGACUUACCAACCCGAUGCAAACUGCGAAUACCGGAGAAUGUUAUCACGGGAGACACACGGCGGGUGCUAACGUCCGUCGUGAAGAGGGAAACAACCCAGACCGCCAGCUAAGGUCCCAAAGUCAUGGUUAAGUGGGAAACGAUGUGGGAAGGCCCAGACAGCCAGGAUGUUGGCUUAGAAGCAGCCAUCAUUUAAAGAAAGCGUAAUAGCUCACUGGUCGAGUCGGCCUGCGCGGAAGAUGUAACGGGGCUAAACCAUGCACCGAAGCUGCGGCAGCGACGCUUAUGCGUUGUUGGGUAGGGGAGCGUUCUGUAAGCCUGUGAAGGUGGCCUGUGAGGGUUGCUGGAGGUAUCAGAAGUGCGAAUGCUGACAUAAGUAACGAUAAAGCGGGUGAAAAGCCCGCUCGCCGGAAGACCAAGGGUUCCUGUCCAACGUUAAUCGGGGCAGGGUGAGUCGACCCCUAAGGCGAGGCCGAAAGGCGUAGUCGAUGGGAAACAGGUUAAUAUUCCUGUACUUGGUGUUACUGCGAAGGGGGGACGGAGAAGGCUAUGUUGGCCGGGCGACGGUUGUCCCGGUUUAAGCGUGUAGGCUGGUUUUCCAGGCAAAUCCGGAAAAUCAAGGCUGAGGCGUGAUGACGAGGCACUACGGUGCUGAAGCGACAAAUGCCCUGCUUCCAGGAAAAGCCUCUAAGCAUCAGGUAACAUUAAAUCGUACCCCAAACCGACACAGGUGGUCAGGUAGAGAAUACCAAGGCGCUUGAGAGAACUCGGGUGAAGGAACUAGGCAAAAUGGUGCCGUAACUUCGGGAGAAGGCACGCUGAUAUGUAGGUGAAGCGACUUGCUCGUGGAGCUGAAAUCAGUCGAAGAUACCAGCUGGCUGCAACUGUUUAUUAAAAACACAGCACUGUGCAAACACGAAAGUGGACGUAUACGGUGUGACGCCUGCCCGGUGCCGGAAGGUUAAUUGAUGGGGUUAGCGGUAACGCGAAGCUCUUGAUCGAAGCCCCGGUAAACGGCGGCCGUAACUAUAACGGUCCUAAGGUAGCGAAAUUCCUUGUCGGGUAAGUUCCGACCUGCACGAAUGGCGUAAUGAUGGCCAGGCUGUCUCCACCCGAGACUCAGUGAAAUUGAACUCGCUGUGAAGAUGCAGUGUACCCGCGGCAAGACGGAAAGACCCCGUGAACCUUUACUAUAGCUUGACACUGAACAUUGAGCCUUGAUGUGUAGGAUAGGUGGGAGGCUUUGAAGUGUGGACGCCAGUCUGCAUGGAGCCGACCUUGAAAUACCACCCUUUAAUGUUUGAUGUUCUAACGUGGGCCCCUUACCGGGGUUGCGGACAGUGUCUGGUGGGUAGUUUGACUGGGGCGGUCUCCUCCUAAAGAGUAACGGAGGAGCACGAAGGUUGGCUAAUCCUGGUCGGACAUCAGGAGGUUAGUGCAAUGGCAUAAGCCAGCUUGACUGCGAGCGUGACGGCGCGAGCAGGUGCGAAAGCAGGUCAUAGUGAUCCGGUGGUUCUGAAUGGAAGGGCCAUCGCUCAACGGAUAAAAGGUACUCCGGGGAUAACAGGCUGAUACCGCCCAAGAGUUCAUAUCGACGGCGGUGUUUGGCACCUCGAUGUCGGCUCAUCACAUCCUGGGGCUGAAGUAGGUCCCAAGGGUAUGGCUGUUCGCCAUUUAAAGUGGUACGCGAGCUGGGUUUAGAACGUCGUGAGACAGUUCGGUCCCUAUCUGCCGUGGGCGCUGGAGAACUGAGGGGGGCUGCUCCUAGUACGAGAGGACCGGAGUGGACGCAUCACUGGUGUUCGGGUUGUCAUGCCAAUGGCACUGCCCGGUAGCUAAAUGCGGAAGAGAUAAGUGCUGAAAGCAUCUAAGCACGAAACUUGCCCCGAGAUGAGUUCUCCCUGACUCCUUGAGAGUCCUGAAGGAACGUUGAAGACGACGACGUUGAUAGGCCGGGUGUGUAAGCGCAGCGAUGCGUUGAGCUAACCGGUACUAAUGAACCGUGAGGCUUAACCUUA
rnacentral:rRNA from 1 species